AGGUGGUCGGCGGCCUGGACGAGACCGCGGCCCGGUUCGAGGCCGGGCGGUGCCUGUCCUGCGGGAACUGCUUCGAAUGUGACGGCUGCCUG
rnacentral:tRNA from 1 species